UACGUAGGGUGCGAGCGUUAAUCGGAAUUACUGGGCGUAAAGCGUGCGUAGGUGGUUCGUUGUGUCUGUGGUGAAAGCCCCGGGCUUAACCUGGGAAUGGCCAUGGAAACUGGCGAGCUGGAGUGUGGCAGAGGGGGGUGGAAUUCCGCGUGUAGCAGUGAAAUGCGUAGAGAUGCGGAGGAACACCGAUGGCGAGGGCAGCCCCCUGGGCUAACACUGACGCUGAGGCACGAAAGCGUGGGGAGCAAACAGG
rnacentral:rRNA from 1 species